UACGGAGGGUGCGAGCGUUAAUCGGAAUUACUGGGCGUAAAGCGCACGCAGGCGGUUUGUUAAGCUAGAUGUGAAAGCCCCGGGCUCAACCUGGGAUGGUCAUUUAGAACUGGCAGACUAGAGUCUUGGAGAGGGGAGUGGAAUUCCAGGUGUAGCGGUGAAAUGCGUAGAUAUCUGGAGGAACAUCAGUGGCGAAGGCGACUCCCAGGCCAAAGACUGACGCUCAUGUGCGAAAGUGUGGGUAGCGAACAGG
rnacentral:rRNA from 1 species